rnacentral:rRNA from 1 species
GACGAACGCUGGCGGCGUGCCUAAUACAUGCAAGUUGAGCGCUGAAGGUUGGUCCUUGUACCAACUGGAUGAGCAGCGAACGGGUGAGUAACGCGUGGGGAAUCUGCCUUUGAGCGGGGGACAACAUUUGGAAACGAAUGCUAAUACCGCAUAAAAACUUUAAACACAAGUUUUAAGUUUGAAAGAUGCAAUUGCAUCACUCAAAGAUGAUCCCGCGUUGUAUUAGCUAGUUGGUGAGGUAAAGGCUCACCAAGGCGAUGAUACGUAGCCGACCUGAGAGGGUGAUCGGCCACAUUGGGACUGAGACACGGCCCAAACUCCUACGGGAGGCAGCAGUAGGGAAUCUUCGGCAAUGGACGAAAGUCUGACCGAGCAACGCCGCGUGAGUGAAGAAGGGUUUCGGAUCGUAAAACUCUGUUGGUAGAGAAGAACGUUGGUGAGAGUGGAAAGCUCAUCAAGUGACGGUAACUACCCAGAAAGGGACGGCUAACUACGUG